rnacentral:rRNA from 1 species
UACAGAGGUCCCAAGCGUUACUGAGAAUCACUGGGUUUAAAGGGUGCGUAGGUGGUCCGUUAAGUCAGUUGUGAAAUCCCCGGGCUUAACCCGGGAACUGCUUCUGAUACUGGCGGACUUGAGGCCAGUAGGGGUCACUAGAACUGACGGUGGAGCGGUGAAAUGCGUAGAUAUCGUCAGGAAUGCCGGUGGUGAAGACGGGUGACUGGGCUGGUUCUGACACUGAGGCACGAAAGCGUGGGGAGCGAACGGG